GUCUUUUUGAAUUUAAUAUGAAGUCUGAUCUGCCCCCUGAUUUAUUAAAUGGCCGCAGUAUAUUAACUGUGCAAAGGUAGCAUAAUAAUUAGUUUUUUAAUUGGAGACUUGUAUGAAUGAUUGGACGAGAUAUAAGCUGUUUCAUAAAAAUAGAUAGAAUUUUAUUUUUUAGUUAAAAAGCUAAAAUUUUAUUGAAAGACGAGAAGACCCUAUAGAUCUUUAUAAUAAAAUAAUUAUUAGUUUAUAGGUUUUAUUUUACAAUAUUUGUUUUAUUAUUUUAUUGGGGUGAUAUUGAAACUUGAAAAACUUUUGAUUAAAUAGGUUAUACCAUUAAUAUAUGAAUAGAUGAUCCAUUUUUAUUGAUUAAAAAUUUAAGUUACCUUAGGGAUAACAGCGUAAUUAUUUUGGAGAGUUCUUAUCGAUAAAAUAGUUUGCGACCUCGAUGUUGGAUUAAGAUUAAUUCUAGGCGCAAUCGUUUAGAGAAUUAAGUCUGUUCGACUUUUAAUUUCUU
rnacentral:rRNA from 1 species